UCUAAAUGUAAAUAUAUUUCUAAAGAAGUAAUAGUUAUGAUCUUGAAAUUUAAAGAUUUUGGCGGUAUUUUAGUCUUUUCAGAGGAACCUGUUCUUUAAUUGACAAUCCACGAUUAAUUAUACUUAAUUUAGUAGUUUGUAUAUCGUCGUGGUUUGAAUAUUUUAAAAGAAUUAAAUAUUCAUCUUUUUUUAUAAAAAUAGAUAUCAGAUCAAGGUGCAGCUUAUAUUUAAGUAGAAAUGGGUUACUUAUAAAUUUAUUUAUGGAUUUUAGGUUUAAAAUUUAAAUUAAAACGGAUUUGAAAGUAAUUAGAUGUAUAUUCUUCUAAUGAUUAAGCUCUAAAAUAUGC
rnacentral:rRNA from 1 species